rnacentral:rRNA from 1 species
UACGUAGGGUGCAAGCGUUAAUCGGAAUUAUUGGGCGUAAAGAGCUCGUAGGCGGUCUGUCGCGUCGGAUGUGAAAAUCCAGGGCUCAACCCUGGACCUGCAUUCGAUACGGGCAGACUAGAGUUCGGUAGGGGAGACUGGAAUUCCUGGUGUAGCGGUGAAAUGCGCAGAUAUCAGGAGGAACACCGGUGGCGAAGGCGGGUCUCUGGGCCGAAACUGACGCUGAGGCGCGAAAGCCAGGGGAGCGAACGGG